rnacentral:rRNA from 1 species
UACGUAGGGUGCAGGCGUUAAUCGGAAUUACUGGGCGUAAAGCGUGCGCAGGCGGUUUCUUAAGUCAGAUGUGAAAGCCCCGGGCUUAACCUGGGAACUGCGUUUGAAACUGGGAGACUUGAGUGUCGCAGAGGGGGGUGGAAUUCCACGUGUAGCAGUGAAAUGCGUAGAUAUGUGGAGGAACACCGAUGGCGAAGGCAGCCCCCUGGGUUAACACUGACGCUCAUGCACGAAAGCGUGGGGAGCAAACAGG